AUUGAACGCUGGCGGCAGGCCUAACACAUGCAAGUCGAACGAGUGGCGGACGGGUGAGUAAUGUCUGGGAAACUGCCCGAUGGAGGGGGAUAACUACUGGAAACGGUAGCUAAUACCGCCUACCAUCGGAUGUGCCCAGAUGGGAUUAGCUUGUAGGUGAGGUAACGGCUCACCUAGGGGACGAUCCCUAGCUGGUCUGAGAGGAGGACACAGCACACGGGAACUGAGACACGGGACAGACUCGUACGGGAGGGAGCAGUGGGGAAUAGUGCACAAUGGGCGCAAGCAUGAUGAAGACAUGCCGCGUGUAGGAAGAAGGCCGUCGGGUUGUAAAGUACGUUAAGCGGGGAGGCGUUACCCGCAGAAGAAGCACCGGCUAACUCCGUGCCAGCAGCCGCGGUAAUUC
rnacentral:rRNA from 1 species